UACGAAGGGGGCUAGCGUUGCUCGGAAUCACUGGGCGUAAAGCGCACGUAGGCGGCUUUCUAAGUCAGGGGUGAAAUCCUGGAGCUCAACUCCAGAACUGCCUUUGAUACUGGAGAGCUCGAGUCCGGAAGAGGUGAGUGGAACUCCGAGUGUAGAGGUGAAAUUCGUAGAUAUUCGGAAGAACACCAGUGGCGAAGGCGGCUCACUGGCCCGGUACUGACGCUGAGGCGCGAAAGCGUGGGGAGCAAACAGG
rnacentral:rRNA from 1 species